CUACGGGCGGCUCCAGUGAGGAAUAUUGCACAAUGGGGGGAACCCUGAUGCAGCAACGCCGCGUGGAGGAUGACGCAUUUCGGUGUGUAAACUCCUUUUAUAUGUCAAGAAAAUGACGGUAGCAUAUGAAUAAGCACCGGCUAACUCCGUGCCAGCAGCCGCGGUAAUACGGAGGGUGCAAGCGUUACUCGGAAUCACUGGGCGUAAAGGACGCGUAGGCGGGUUGGAAAGUCAGGUGCGAAAUCCUACAGCUUAACUGUAGAACUGCACUUGAAACUUCUAAUCUAGAGUAUGGGAGGGGGAGAUGGAGUUAGUGGUGUAGGGGUAAAAUCCGUAGAUAUCACUAGGAAUACCUAAAGCGAAGGCGAUCUCCUGGAACAUUACUGACGCUAAGGCGUGAAAGCGUGGGGAGCAAACAGGAUUAGAUACCCCUGUAGUC
rnacentral:rRNA from 1 species